rnacentral:rRNA from 1 species
UACGUAGGCAGCAAGCGUUGUUCGGAAUUACUGGGCGUAAAGAGUGUGUAGGCGGUGCUCCAAGUCUGGUGUGAAAUCUCCCGGCUUAACUGGGAGGGUGCAUUAGAAACUGGAAUGCUAGAGGAUGGGAGAGGUAAGCGGAAUUCCUGGUGUAGCGGUGAAAUGCGUAGAUAUCAGGAGGAACACCUGUGGUGUAGACAGCUUACUGGACCAUUUCUGACGCUGAGACACGAAAGCGUGGGUAGCAAACAAG